rnacentral:rRNA from 1 species
GACGAACGCUGGCGGUGUGCUUAACACAUGCAAGUCGAACGGUAAGGCCCUUUCGGGGGUCCACGAGUGGCGAACGGGUGAGUAACACGUGAGUAACCUGCCCUCAUCUCUGGGAUAACAGUCGGAAACGGUUGCUAAUACUGGAUAUGAGCUUGCAAGGCAUCUUGUGGGUUGGAAAGAUUUUUUUUGGUUGGGGAUGGACUCGCGGCCUAUCAGCUUGUUGGUGAGGUAGUGGCUCACCAAGGCUUCGACGGGUAGCCGGCCUGAGAGGGCGACCGGCCACAUUGGGACUGAGAUACGGCCCAAACUCCUACGGGGGGCAGCAGUGGGGAAUAUUGCACAAUGGACGGAAGUCUGAUGCAGCAACGCCGCGUGCGGGAUGACGGCCUUCGGGUUGUAAACCGCUUUCAAUUGUGACGAAGCUUUUUUGUGACGGUAGCAGUAGAAGAAGCACCGGCUAACUACGUG